AACAUCUCCUACUUACAUAACGCUUUGCAGUUUACAAUUUGCCUUCCUCACAACAUCCGUUUGAGGCAGAUAGUAUGCAUUAUCCUCUCCGUUUUAUAGAUGGGGAAACUGAGCCUGCGAGGGAGGAAGUAACAUGUUCAAAGUACCAAUAAGUGGCAAGGCGGGGAGCAGAACCGGGGUCUUCUGACGCAAGUUCAGUGUUCUUUCCAAGAGAUCACUCUCCCUCUUGGGAUUGCUGCUGAAAUCAAGAGGCUUUAGAAGCUGGGAUUUGAACUCUUCCAUAAAGAAAAUCAUGGACCACUAUGAGAUGCUUUCCAACACCAACAAGAGAUUAAUAAAGCAAGUGUCCAGCCUCUCAGAUGCCCGCAAGAAAGCCCAGAAAAAUCUUGAAGCUUUGCAGCUGAAACACGCCAACAGCACACUUGUCCUGAAUACUGAGCUCUCAACUUUGCAAAAGAAAUUGGAUGAGGUCAAGGAAAAAAACAGAGAGAUGAAAAUGAAUGUACAGAUAAAGAAAAGUAUCUCAAAAGAUGGUGACCAACAUCUAGGGACAGCCAUCACUAACCUGGCAGAGCAGUGCCAAAUCCAACAUUAUGGUCCUUUAAAACAAUUGGACUUAUGCUGCAAACUGGAAAUGAUUCAGGAAUUUAUAUUGGAUAAAAUGAAGACCAAAAAAUUAGCUGAAUCUCAAAUGUUCUGGAAUGGGGAACUCAUAAAAAGUUACCCACAGAAGAUUCAAGAACUGGGCAAAAGGAAGUCAGCAGACAGAAUUUCAUCUCGAGCUUCUCCUGGAGCCCCUAUAAGCAAAAUAACUGUUCCCCAGGUGGAAAUUGCCGUUAGACUGCCCACACCACAAGCUCACUGCCUCAAGCCUCUGAACCUUCCCAAGAGCCAGGAGGUCUAAGAAUGCUGUUUUUCCUUUCCUUGCUCACAUAAUUUAAGAUGCAUAGUAUGUCCAUACUCUUCUAAAGCUUGACACAAGUCAACAGGUUGGGAUGCCUAAAGAAAGACUCUCAAAAGCUAAAAAUAGUCAGCUUCCCUGGAUAACAAUAAAUUGGGGAAUCGGUCUUGGGUAAAAACA
rnacentral:lncRNA from 1 species